CACGUAGUUAGCCGUGACUUUCUGGUUGGGUACCGUCAAGGGAUAGGCAGUGACUCCUAUCCGUGUUCUUCCCCAACAACAGAGCUUUACGAACCGAAGUCCUUCUUCACUCACGCGGCAUUGCUCCAUCAGGCUUGCACCCAUUGUGGAAGAUUCCCUACUGCUGCCUCCCGUAGGAGUCUGGACCGUGUCUCAGUUCCAGUGUGGCCGAUCACCCUCUCAAGUCGGCUACGCAUCAUGGCCUUGGUAGGCCGUUACCCUACCAACUAGCUAAUGCGCCGCGAGGCUAUCCAUAAGCGGUAGCAGAGCCACCUUUUAUUUCCCAGCAUGCACUAGGAAACCUAUGCGGUAUUAGCACCCGUUUCCGGUGUUACUCCCCCUCUUAUGGGCAAGUUCCUCACGUGUUACUCACCCGUUCGCCACUCCGCCUCUUCCUGCAAGCAGGAAGAUUUGGCGUUCGACUUGCAUGUAUUAGGCAUGCCGCCAGCGUUCGU
rnacentral:rRNA from 1 species